AGUGGGGAAUAUUGCACAAUGGGCGUAUAGCGGGAUGCAGCUACGCCGCGUGCGGGAUGACGGCCUUCGGGUUGUAAACCGCUUUCAGCAGGGACGAAGUGAAAAUGACGGUACCUGCAGAAGAAGCACCGGCUAACUACGUGCCAGCAGCCGCGGUGAUACGUAGGGUGCGAGCGUUGUCCGGAAUUAUUGGGCGUAAAGAGCUUGUAGGCGGUCUGUUGCGUCGGAAGUGAAAACUCAGGGCUUAACCCUGAGCCUGCUUUCGAUACGGGCAGACUUGAGGGAUGUAGGGGAGAACGGAAUUCCUGGUGGAGCGGUGGAAUGCGCAGAUAUCAGGAGGAACACCAGUGGCGAAGGCGGUUCUCUGGACAUUUCCUGACGCUGAGAAGCGAAAGCGUGGGGAGCAAACAGGCUUAGAUACCCUGGUAGUCCACGCCGUAAACGGUGGGCACUAGGUGUGGGACCCAUUCCACGGGUUCCGUGCCGAAGCUAACGCAUUAAGUGCCCCGC
rnacentral:rRNA from 1 species